rnacentral:rRNA from 1 species
UAGUCGAGGCGAGUAGCCUCAGGUGAGCGAGAGAACUCUCGUUAAGGAACUCGGCAAAAUGGCCCCGUAACUUCGGGAGAAGGGGCGCUGACUUAUGGUCAGCCGCAGUGAAUAGGCCCAAGCAACUGUUUAUCAAAAACACAGCUCUCUGCUAAAUCGUAAGAUGAUGUAUAGGGGGUGACGCCUGCCCGGCGCUGGAAGGUUAAGAGGAGUGCUUAGCAAUAGCGAAGGUAUGAAUUGAAGCCCCAGUAAACGGCGGCCGUAACAAUAACGGUCCUAAGGUAGCGAAAUUCCUUGUCGGGUAAGUUCCGACCCGCACGAAAGGCGUAAUGAUUUGGGCACUGUCUCAACGAGAGACUCGGUGAAAUUUUAGUACCUGUGAAGAUGCAGGUUACCCGCGACAGGACGGAAAGACCCCAUGGAGCUUUACUGCAGUUUGAUAUUGAGUAUCUGUACCACAUGUACAGGAUAGGUAGGAGCCUAUGACCUCGGGACGCCAGUUUCGAGUGAGGCGUUGUUGGGAUACUACCCUUGUGUUAUGGCUACUCUAACCCAGAUAGGUUAUCCCUAUCGGAGACAGUGUCUGACGGGCAGUUUGACUGGGGCGGUCGCCUCCUAAAAGGUAACGGAGGCGCCCAAAGGUUCCCUCAGAAUGGUUGGAAAUCAUUCGCAGAGUGUAAAGGUAUAAGGGAGCUUGACUGCGAGAGUUACAACUCGAGCAGGGACGAAAGUCGGGCUUAGUGAUCCGGUGGUUCCGCAUGGAAGGGCCAUCGCUCAACGGAUAAAAGCUACCCUGGGGAUAACAGGCUUAUCUCCCCCAAGAGUUCACAUCGACGGGGAGGUUUGGCACCUCGAUGUCGGCUCGUCGCAUCCUGGGGCUGUAGUCGGUCCCAAGGGUUGGGCUGUUCGCCCAUUAAAGCGGCACGCGAGCUGGGUUCAGAACGUCGUGAGACAGUUCGAUCCCUAUCCGUCGCGGGCGUAGGAAAUUUGAGAGGAUCUGCUCCUAGUACGAGAGGACCAGAGUGGACUUACCGCUGGUGUACCAGUUGUUCUGCCAAGAGCAUCGCUGGGUAGCUAUGUAGGGAAGGGAUAAACGCUGAAAGCAUCUAAGUGUGAAGCCCACCUCAAGAUGAGAUUUCCCAUGAUUUUAUAUCAGUAAGAGCCCUGAGAGAUGAUCAGGUUGAUAGGUUAGAAGUGGAAGUGUGGUGACACAUGUAGCGGACUAAUACUAAUAGCUCGAGGACUUAUCC